rnacentral:piRNA from 1 species
UGAUUGAUAAUGGUUGACCUUGGGCAAGU